GAUUAAUCUAUUAAUUAAAAUAUUUCGUGGGUAGUAUUUUGCCGUGUUAAAUGAGAUGAGGAAUAUAAAACAAAAUAUUAACUUUAACAAAAUAAAUCUCGACGUUUAUUAACAAAAAAAACUGCAAAGCAUACAAAUUAAAACGAGUUUCUGGCAUAGUAAAGAGUAGAAAAAAACUAGAUUACUUAUAUUUUAUAAACGUCCAUAAAUAUAUUAUAGAAUCAUAUGAAAUUCUUAUCGUUGAUAAGCACAGUCAACUACAGAGUAUAUAUAAAAUUAAAACAACAUUAUACAAUUUCAAAAUUAACUUAAAUUGCCAAAUCUCAAAAUUAUGCAUUGUAGAUGUUAUGCAUUUGUGAUAACCGCUUUUUGAAAAAUAUUGUUUCUUGACAUAAUUUAAUAUAGGAGCCACUUAAACAAUACGUUUUUCGGGAGUCAAUUCUGCAGCAAAGGUCGGUGGAGAAUAGGCUUGAUUUUGGGGUAACCGUCUCAAUCGUCAUCAGUCGGGUCGCCAAUUAAUUUGGGACCUGACUUUAAUUAUACGUAGUGUACUGCCUGUAUACAAAAACCACAAGGGUCACAACUCGGAUGCAGCCGUCCCACCGGUCACGCCGUAUAAAAUAUUAUUGCCGGGUCUGGCCGCUCUUUGAAAUCCACUCUCUCGAGACCGCGUUUAUUAUUAUACUUGUUCGUCGCGCGCAAAACACCGUUUAGACGGCUCCGUUUAAAAAACAAAAACGCUUUCCCUUGCUCGACAAACAUUGUUUCCUAGCAAGGUUCGUAUAAUACUGUUAUAUAAUAUAUUAUAUUUGUUGAUGUCGAGAAAAAAAAAAAAACUGUACAGAUAUCGGUAUAAGAUAACAGAAUAUGUAUAAUAAUAUAUAUAUAUUUUAUUUACACUGUUGAUUAAGAC